GGUACCAAAGAAAAUAAUACAGACAAGAAGGCAAAGAGAUAAAGAAGGAAAAACAUACAACCAGAGUUCAAAGGAUCAUAGUGGAAGAAGGAGAAUGGAACAGAAGAAAAAAAUGGACCAAGGCGUCUUUCCAUUGCUGACAUUCUUUUCCUAAGGGCAUGACGCACACCUUGUCUCUUCUCAACUUCACAAAGAGCAUAACUGUCUAAAUCCAAGGACAGAAUUUUAAAUACCAGCACAGAUCAAUUUAAAACAGAUUCUCUCUUAAGCUUUACCUCAGGAUGAUGUCCAAUUUCAACGUAGGUGCAAAUUGGAUGAAAAGCCCCCGUUCCACAGGCAUACAAUCUUACAGGAAUGCUGUGAGGUGGUUGUCAUGCCAAACACCCUUCAUGAAAAUCAGAACAG